GACAGAGGGUGCAAACGUUGUUCGGAAUUACUGGGCGUAAAGCGCGUGUAGGCGGCCUUGCAAGUCGGAUGUGAAAGCCCUCGGCUCAACCGGGGAAGUGCACUCGAAACUGCAAGGCUGGAGUCCCGGAGAGGAUAGUGGAAUUCCCAGUGUAGAGGUGAAAUUCGUAGAUAUUGGGAAGAACACCGGUGGCGAAGGCGGCUCACUGGCUCGUAACUGACGCUCAUGCACGACAGCGUGGGGAUCAAACAGG
rnacentral:rRNA from 1 species